ensembl:lncRNA
AACGCGACAACAACUGAAUCACAAUUACCAUUAUCCAAAGGACAACACUCUUGAACCUGCAGCGUUAGUUUACCGGUGCGCCACAUAAAUAAGAUAAAAACAACAACAAAAAAUGGAAAUCAAAAAGCAUACCACGGAAAACCAGAAUUUGACUGAAAAAAUUAAAAAUAGGGAGCUCAGAAUUGUGAAAAACAGAGCACGGGUUAAAUCAAAUGUUUGGAAUCAUUUUGGAAUAAUCAUAAACGCUGAGAAACAACAUGUGGAUGGAUUCGCAGCUUGCAAAAAGUGCAAACGGGUGUUAAGCUAUGAUAGUCAAAGAACAGGCACGUCCAGCUUGAAAAAACACAUUGGGAGAUGUACGGUAAGACGGCUAUUGGUUGGACAGUAGCGGACUGUAGUGCAUAAGAGCUAGUUUAACAUGUACACUUAUUGUCUAUAUCUCGGGUCGGGUUGCAGUUCUCGUCCAUGCGGUUCGGGUUGGGGGAGGGUACAAUCUCCAAAUUGCGGUUUGCAGUCGGGUUCUACCGAUGUAUUGUUUUAGAGACAGUAAUGAUCUUUGGGGUGUGCUUGGCAGACAUACAUGCAUACGAGGUUAUGUUAAGGUGCUCGUGUGAAAGUUGGCUACUGUAAAGAGUAAUCAUUGAUUUAUUGUGUCCAAAAUGUGCUUUGAGGUGUCAGCAAAGUGGAGCGAAGAAAUUCGUCAGUUCAAGUAUCGCGCAUGCGCAAUGAUAUAUCAGUCUAACCCAGAAUUCUAGGUUGGUAGCAACUGAAGCUAUUUCAAGAGAGAUUUCCAUUACUUGAAAUAAAAUUGACGCUGUGAGACAUGGAAAGUACAAUCAGAGACCGUAAAAAAUAUAGAAGUCACACUUGGAGAUAUUUCAAUGAAAUCUCGUUCGAAAGUGUGACAUGCAAGAUGUGUGGAGCUGUUCUGAAGCGGACGAGCGGUAGCACAACAUCCAUGUUGAACCAUUUAGAAAGGAUCCAUCAUCUGUCGUUAAGACAUAUCAAAACACAGCAAGAGCUUAUGGAUAUCGCUAGAGGUAAGACACAUGUAAGUGUUUUAUAUAGUUAUUAGCCGGGGAUAUUACGUAACUACAUUAAAUGUGUUUGAUAUCUGUGGACUGGUCUACAAGUUUAUCGGCUUCGCUGGAUCAGGUUGUACCGUAUUUACUCUUUCACGGUGUCAGUAUUUUUAAUUGCAGGAUUUAGUUUCACCACAAAUGCUGUUAAUACGGUAUAUGGUAAAACGUAUUUCAGUCGCUAGUAUCCUUUUCGAUCGGGCGGCGUCAUAUACAUUUAUAUAGUCAAGUUUUCCACUGAUGCUAUUCAUUCAUAAAAUGUCUACGCCAAGUUUUCCCAGCGUUGGUUCAAAUGCGCGGCGCAGGUUCGACAGAAUAGAAGCUUCGGUGGCAAAAUGUAAACACUGUCGCGGGAGUUUCAGGUGUAAACGAGGUUGCAAUAGUGGAAGGAUAAGGCAUUUGGAAUCUCGACAUCUGAAAGGGCGGUAGCAUACAUAAUCAAAUAAUUAGAAAAGUGUUUUCAGACAAGGCGAUGACAACAAGACAAAAGCAACAGAGCAAUGCGUGGAGUAUUUUGAACUGCCAAAAACUCGUUUUAAAAUUAUUGACAACAAAAUAGUCAGUCCCUUUUAAUUUCCGGGGUUUGGCACACCAUUCACUAAUGUAUCUAAUAAACGCCGGGUCUAAAUUCAUUAUUGUAAGGCAUGGCGCCUCCAAGAAGAAAACACGACAUCAAAUUCAAGAUGGCAGUGAUCAAAUUUGGAGAGCGAAAUUCAGGCGAGGCAACAGCCAGGCAUUUUGGAGUAGAUCCAAAACGAGUGAGAGAAUGGCGGAGUCAGAAAGUCGAACUUCAGCGUUUGUCUGAGGUGAAUCAGAAGAGGGCUAGACUUCUAGGUGGUGGGAGGAAAAAAUCAUUGAAAUACAAUAAAAAAGAAUCAACGGUAAAAGUGGAGAAAACGUUAUCUAAGAGCACUCAUGACGAGGAUGAGGAAGAAGAGCUGCGCCCCAAGAGGGAGAUGUCAAAGGACAAUGAAAAUGCCUCUCUGGUAGCCUUGACAGAAGUGGGGGCCCCAGAGCAGUUUGAGUUUCAGUAUGGACUUGAAGGACCAACGUUUCACACUGAUAACGGGGAGGACUCCAAGAGACAUCUGUCCAUUAUCAAAGUGGAACAACUAGACCCUGUUCUCCCGGAACAGACCGACACCAGCUGUGGUUCUGGGUCACCCGAUGGUUCGGGGCCCCCUGGCUCAUCUGGGUCUGGCUCUGGGUCCGGUUUGAGUCCAGCUGCACAGUUCUUCGCCAAGUGCCACCAGGCAGGCUGCACACAGUUUGUCUUCUCAGAGUUCGCUUCACGCCUCAGCAUAAUCACUGAACGGAUCACAUCCCAACAGGCCAGCGAGGAUGAUUUCAACCUCACCCUGAAAGUGCUGGAGGCUUCUGGGAUGCUGCCAGACAUCUUUGCUAAGAGAGACCAAGAAAUGGAGAAGAGACUGAGGGAGCUGCAGAAGGAGACGGAAUCACUGAGAACGGCCCGGUCUGCCAUGAGAGAUGCCUGUAUCAUGAGCUUCUCUUCAGCAUGACAGUCCCCUGCCCAACACCACACCGGGUUCUUUGUAGAUCAUGUCGUUAUUUGUUUCCCUUCGGGACCAAAGAAGGAUUAUAUCAGUCUGGGUACCCAAACUUGCACUGGCCAAACGCUCCGCCCACAAACGUGUUUGUUCUCUGCAAUGAGUCUGGAUUAGGGUACCUCUAUUGAUUUUUAAUACACGCUUUCUAACCGUUUUGAUUGGUCACAGAAAUAAAUUGGUUAUCACAGCCAGAACUUGUGGUUAAAUUAGCAUUUCGAAAAUGAUUUGAUUCUGAUUAGGUUGACAUGAUUUGUACAACAUUUCGACGUCACAAAAAACGUCAGUGGUGACAGUCUCGGACUGAUGUAGUGAACGACAGAGUAGCAGAAUAUUCCGAUUUUGACUCGUCGGGCAAGAAAGGUUUGGGACCUGGAGGUUUUAGUGUGUCUGAUCACCUGUUCAGGAGAACUCACAUGCCUACUUCAGGAGAGUGGAAACGGACUCGUAAAUAUUUCUGUUUUUCAAGGAUUUUGUCAAUCGUUGGAAUCAUAAGUAGACAGAGGAAAAGGGUGGAUGCAUGUGGAGACGGAGGUCAAGGGCGGAGACUGGUAUUAAACUUCGUUCCCCCUUGUGGUGCCGCAUGUGUUCAAGGAUCUGGGACUUUUACCACUAGAAUAUGGAUCCACACACAGAUCCUACAUUUAACCAAAUGUAAAUCAAUGAAACUGUGUAUAUUUGCCAUAUUUUUCUACCUCUUGUUAAAACUUUUUAAGUCUGUUAUGAAGCAGUUUAUUGCAGCAUGCCCACUGAGUUGGGAUAUGUAAAUAACUAGUAGAUCAUCUCUGAAGGUCAGAGGUUGUAACAGAUGUAAUGGUUAGGUCAGUCUUUUAGGAUGACUUCAGAAAAUAUUCAGACCACUUUCUCAACAUUAAUUUGUAACUGAUGUCAUUUUUUCUAAUAAUCUUACACACAUCAGACCCAUAACGACAACGAAAUUUGAGACAAUUUGAAAAAGUAAAUAUUUAAUGUAUGUAAGUAUGAAUACUUCCCCAAGCCACUUAUGUAGUAAUGUGUCUGUAAACCAAUGGAUCAACUUUCCGGUUGAAUUGUGUGCUUGUGUACCUGAGCAAAGCUGAGAGCUGUUGCAAUGUUUUGAGAAUGCAUUAAACAUCGGUUUUGUCAAUUAGAAAUAGCCUUUAAAUUAUUUAAGUUAAUUUUGUGCUUACAACUAC